CUUCCAGAGAAAUACAUGAAUAUGACAGUUCAGAGCUCACAUGUUGCAUCAGUUCUGUGUAAUUACAGCAGCUUUAUCCAGUCACAGAGCUUAAGACUAUAAGCCGGUGUGCAGGACAGGAGACAAGCAGGGGCCAGUGCUGGAGCUGGAUCCUUAUCUGUGAUCUUAUGUCUCCAGGCCUGCUGUCACAGGCAACCAGCAAAGAAAGGACGUGUCUGUGUGAAGCAGGUGGCACAGUGGCUGGUGGUUAGCGUUGUCGCCUAGCAGCUAGAAGAUGCCUGGUUCACGUCCCGGCCUGGGCUGAGGAUCUUUCUGCAUGGAGUUUGCAUGUUCUCCCGGUGCAUGCAUGGGUUUUCUCCAGCUUCCUCCCACAGUCAAAAAUUUGCCAGACAGACCAGCAACAUCAAACUAAGCAAGACAAAACGGUACAGAGGAGGAACAAAAGAUAAGCUCGAU
ensembl:lncRNA